GAUGCUAAUACCGGAUAACAACAGAUGAUGCCUAUCAACUGUUUAAAAGAUGGUUCUGCUAUCACUCUUGGAUGGACCUGCGGUGCAUUAGCUAGUUGGUAGGGUAACGGCCUACCAAGGCGAUGAUGCAUAGCCGAGUUGAGAGACCGAUCGGCCACAUUGGGACUGAGACACGGCCCAAACUCCUACGGGAGGCAGCAGUU
rnacentral:rRNA from 1 species